AGGCAGAUCACCGUGCAACUUGGUGAAGUCAUGUGUCUUUCCAGAUGCCCAAAUCUGUACCCCUCAAAAAAACUUUAUUAAAUGCCAUGAUAGACAAGAUGAGCCUUAAGAGGAGAUUUGGGAAGAUGCUGUUUCAUAAGUCUUUGCUUUGCCAGAUUAUCUGUGGUUGGGGUGUCUGCCAACGUGAUGCCUUGCUGGUCUGGUUUGAGUUUGAAGUCUCUCACAGACCGUCCAGAAGGUCUGGAGUCCAUCUUAGCUUUCAUUGAUGCUGUCAUCAUAUUUUAAGUGCAUGAGCCAGAAUGGAUGGGUGGUGGUGGCCAUAAGAAGACUGUCAACUAAACUAGGGUGACCAUACGUGCCAUUCUUCCCGGACCCGUCCUGUCCAGUCUUUUGGAACUCGUAUUUGUCGACCGCAUACGUCACAGAGGAUUAUUAUUAUUAUUACAGAAAAGCAACCGUUACAUUUAAAGGUAAGAAUGAAACUACGAUUGUAUAUCUUAUGUUUUUAACUGAAUGGCGUAUGCGGUCAACAAAUACGACUUCCGGAAGACGCACCGAAAUCCUGGACCGGAUGCGUCCGGGAAGAAUGGCACGUAUGGUCAUCCUAACUAAACCAACAACAAAAUUCAUAUUUGCAGUUAUAAAUAAAAUGACUUUUAAACCUGAUUUUGUUUUCUUAUUUUAUGAUUUCAUUCUAUAUUUGGAAUAUUCCAUUUUUGCACUACUAACUGGAAACUGUUUGAAAGAAUGUGUUUUUAUUAAAAGACAAAUUUCAAAGGUGAAUCAUGCCGGCUGGGAUAUCAAAAUAGCAUUAAAAUGACAGCAACAUCAUAACAUCCUGAUGUCAAAUAGAUGUAGAAUUGACAUCAAAAUGA